rnacentral:rRNA from 1 species
UACGUAGGCAGCAAGCGUUGUUCGGAAUUACUGGGCGUAAAGAGUGUGUAGGCGGUUCGCUAAGUUUGGUGUGAAAUCUCCCGGCUUAACUGGGAGGGUGCGCCGAAAACUGGCGGGCUUGAGUAUGGGAGAGGAAAGCGGAAUUCCUGGUGUAGCGGUGAAAUGCGUAGAUAUCAGGAGGAACAUCUGUGGUGUAGACGGCUUUCUGGACCAUUACUGACGCUGAGACACGAAAGCGUGGGUAGCAAACAGG